rnacentral:lncRNA from 1 species
CAAAAAUAUGGUUGAGAGGAGAAGUGAAGCCACAGCCCUGGAAGAUGGCAGAGGAUGCGCUUCCACUGCUAAAGUGAGUGACAUGGCUGAUCAGGAUGGUAUGGAAGCACCGGACUUGGAAGACGAGGGGAAGUGGGAGGCCCAGCAGCAGGAGGAGGAGCAGGGAGUCAUGAGAAUGAGGAGCAGGAGAAGGAACAAGAGGUUCAUCCAGAAUAGCGGGGAAAGGAUCAUGAACAGGACCUCAGGCUUCAUGAAAGGAGCAAUUCAGAAGGAAGAUACCAAUGAUAACUAUGGGGACGCUGGGGAAGAAGAAGAGAAAGGUAUUUGAAGGGAGCAGAAAGCUGGCACUAGUGAUGAUAGAGCAGGAGAAUACAGCCCGUCCCCUGGGAGAGCACAUGCCCUGCUUUGCAAGGCAGCAAUAAUUGUAGUGGCAUCUUGCUUUACCACUGAACUUGUGGUGGUGGCCACAAGCUUUGGGCAUUAUUUUAUGUUCAGACGUGACCCCUUUUCUCCUUCAUGAAUGCUAGCUAUUCCUACAGAACACAGCAUGCAAAUUUUUAUGAUAAAAGCCUAUAUUUUUAUGACUUUUGCUUUAUCAUUCCAAUUAUGAUUUACUAGUCUGUUGGUGGUCACAAUGAGUACUUUUUUCAUUACCACACUGUGGUGGGUUGAAUGAGAAAUGUCCCCUAUAAGUUCAUGUAUUCAAACACUUGGUUCCCCCAUCCUAGAAUGGUGGUGCUGUUUGGAGAGGUCAUGGAUCCUUUGGGAGGUGGAGCUUCGCUGGAGGAAAUACCGCACUGGCUGCAGGCUUUUAGAGUUUCUAGCCUCACCGCACUUCCAGUUUACAGUUUGAAAAUACAGAGCUUCCUGCUUUUGUCACUAUGCCUGCCGGGUGUUGCCAUGCCUCUGCCAUGAUGGGAGCUCUCCGGAACCAUAAGCCAGAAUAAAUCUGUGUUUUAUCACA